GUUCACUACAGGCUAAAACGGAACUAGCAGCAUACUAAACUUAGAAUGCAUUUCAUUGAUUUGAACUUUUGCAAAACAAUAGGUGUAAACAAAGCAGAUCAAAUGUCGCUAAAUGUCUUAUUUCUUUGCAUUAGUUAUUUAAUUCUAAAUCUGAUCAUGAUUAUGCAACUAUAUUUGCCACCCAAAAAUGUAAAUAUAGAAACAACAUGUAGCCUGUUUGUUGCAGCCCAAACAUUUCAAUAUGCAUUGAAAAGUUUACUUUAAGAGACUUAGUAACAUGUAAAUAUCAACAAGCAUGAUUAGAAAAUUCAUUAGGUAAGGAAAUUAAAUAAUUAAUUUUGGAAUAACAUGUUUGGCUCAGAUGUAUAUGAUGUAAUGUCUUGCAUUUCAUGCUUGAACUUCCUCUGAGCAGUUAGAAAAGGUGCAUGUUUGCAUGUGUGUCUCUGUGCUGCUGACAUCCUGUUCAGGCCCUUCUGUGGUUUGCACGAUUCGGAGGCGAUGAUGACAAACUGUCAGAGAAAAAAAAUUCAGUUUUAGGUGGAGCAGGACCUUUACAAUUAACCAAAGUAAACCGGACUGAAAGAUGCGCACUUACUGUGUACUUCUACACAUUUUUGCUGCUCUCCUCUUGUGUGAUUAUGGGAUGUUCUCCAAGCCGUCACCGUCUCCAUCAGAGAUGUCCACCACCUCAAUAUCAGCCACAUCUGACUCUCACACUACUGGGAUGACAACAGAAUCAGUAACUACAGGGAAUGACACGAGCUUGUUAGAGACUACCUCUGAUGAUGAAGUGUCAGCUGGUUUUAAAAAUACAACUGAGAGCGGUGGAAAGGAUCCUGAAAAUUAUUCUAAAAGUCUGAAUGAAAGCGUCAAUGUAGUGAUCUCUUCAACCACACAUCCAUCGAGCACCACACAUCCAUCGAGCACCACACUUGUGAAGCUCAAUAAUGAAGAAAGCAUAGAUUCAGGAAAGUUAACAGGAGGCAUCAUCAUUUUGGUAAUCAUCCUGAUCCUGAUUUUUUGUCUGCUUGGCAUUUUGUUUUUUCUGAGAAAGAAAGCAAGGAGUUACUCGUUUGAUUUGACUCGUGUCGAAGGACCUGGCAAUGAUUAUGACACCCCGCUCAAGAGCGACCAACAAGGCCUGAGCUAUGAACAAACCAACAAAGAUCUGCCUGUGUCUUUGAAUUUCAUACAAGAAGACAAGUCUGAGGAAAAGACCAAUUCGAUAGCAAACGGCUCUGCAGGAGAGAAACCCGAACAAACACCUACCAGUGAAAACGAUGAGCAGAAUGCCCCAGAAGAGAACAGUUUGUCUUCAGACUCGAGCUCGUCCACGCCAGUGAAGAAAGUGGAGUUUAACCUGGAUCUGGAUCUGCUUGGGAGUGAAUCUGAAUUCAGUGGUCCGACCGAAGCCGAAGCAACAGAUGCGGCGCAGAAUGAAAACAACAAUAACGUCACUAAUGCUGGACGAGGACCAGCAGAAGAGAUCUUCACUGAAAUCAGUCUAGACGAGCCAAAGGAACAUGCAUAGCGUGUGUUUCCCAUCCAACAAUCAAGAUCUCUGGUCUAACUAUAUGAUGCCUGGAUCCAGAGUAUAUGAGUGCUACCGAGUCGGUAACACUUUAUAAUAACUGCACACUAUUAAUCAUUAAUUAAGCAUUAGUAAACAGAUAAUUCAUAAUUUAUAAAGCAUUAAUAGACAGUAAUAAGCAGUUUAUAAAUACAGAUAUAAAUGCUUUAUUCUUUAUUUAAAAGCAUAUCUAUAAUGUGUUUAAUAAUUGUAUUUUCAUACUUUAUUCAUGAUCAAUGUAUCAUUUCUCAAUGAAGUAUAGCAUUAUUUACAAACCAGUUAUUUAGGAGUUGCCAGUGAUUCAUAAGAUCACAAGAAAUGUAGUAAAUUCAGGUAGUUAUAAAGCAUUUAGUAGUGGUCAGUUAACUAUUUAUGUGAGCUCAUCUAAAGUGAGGACUAGUUAUGCUUUGUAAAGCAUUUAUAAAGGAUAUUUAAAGGCUCAGUUAUCUUCUAAACAAAAAACGGAAAAACAAACGCCACACAGUGAUACAGAACAUAGAAAUAUUAACUUUAAGCUUUAGCUUUACAAGGCAUAAAUAGUCCUCGCUUUAGAUGAGCUCUCAAAAAUAGUUAACUAACAACUACAUAUGUUUUAUAACUACCUGCAUUAACCCUGAAUUACAGUAGAAAUACAUGUUAAUAAACCAUUUAUUAACACUAUAAGUAACUAUUACUAUAUGUCUGAAUAAAAAGAUGUAUGAAUGCACAUUUAAAUAGUUUAUUAAUAAUUUACUUACAAUUUCUAAGUGAUCUUAUGAACCACUGACAACUCCUUAAUAACUGGUGUGUAAAUAAUGCUAUACUUAAUUUAGAAAUGAUAAAUUAAUCAUUAAUAAAGUAUGAAAAAACAAUUAUUAAAUACAUUAUAGUUAUGCUUUUAAAUCAGGUAUAAAGCAUUUAUAUCUGUAUUUAUAAACUGCUUAUAAAUGUAUAUUAAUGCUUUAUAAAUGAUGAAUUAACUGUUUCCUAAUGCUUAACUAAUGAUUAAUAGCAUGCAGUUAUUAUAAAGUGUUACCAAAGAGUCCUUUUGACAUCCUCACUUCAAGUUUCUUCUAGCGUUAAAAAAGAUUGUAUACUGUACAUAAAAAAACAACAUUGAAUCAUUAAAGUUUAUGUAAAAAAUGUUAGCAUACGAAUGCUGUAUAAAAUAAUUUGUGGCUGUAAUAAACGUUCUCUGUGUAAUGCAAGUGUGUUUUUGACUGAUGCUUUCUGUUAAAGGGACAGUCGCCCUCAAAUCAAAAUUAAGUCAUCAUUUACUCUCCCUUGUAUGCCCAUCUUUUUUUGUUUCUGAACACAAAAUUAGAUUAUUAUAUCCCGUGCCUUUUGUUCAUAUAAUGGCAGACAGUUCUGGGUAGAUUACAAAUUGCAUGAUAAAAACUGUAGUCAGUAAUGUAAUCUAGAUUACUCGUUUAAGGCAAUGUAUUCUGACUAGAUGACUUAUGACGGCAGUGUUUUGUAACUUGCAUAAUUAUUCAUCUCAUACAUCUCAUCUCAUGUGAGGUUUAGGUGCUGGAGGUGACUGGAGAUGUUUUUCUUUAAGUGGUCACUUCUGUGGUCGACAUCUUUAAGGACGGCGCACCGAAUGCUUAGAAAAUACAAUGAAUGCCUACCUUAUCAGUCUUCCCUUCUGAGACUUCAAAUUAAUUUACAUGACACUUAUACGUCCGUUAUGUAUCCUGAAAGCCCUCUCAAUUCAAUAUGACACAUGGUAGACUUUUUUUUAGAAAAUAUAUUAUUGAGAAAUCUAGUAGAAAAAAGCAGAAAUGCCAAUGUGCAUAAUCUGUAAUCACGUAGUCCAUAAAAAAGAUAACUGUAAUGAUAUUAUGAGCAUAUGUCUAAUUACAAGUAUGACAUGUAAUGCAGAUGUUGCAUGGGAUCAUUCUGCAUACUUUUGCAUCUUUUUCUAAAAAGCCAUUAUGCAGGACAUUUGUUUUCAUCAAAAUGAAUUAAAAUAGUGAAAUGCAAACUCAGAAUAGGAUGCAAACCUGCAAUAAUUAUAUGCUAAACAACACAAAUGUAUCUAAUCCCAUUUUAUGAACUAAUGUCUUUGCUGCUGACCUUUGAUGAUCCAGUUCAACCGUACUAAUAAGCAAAAAUGACUUUAGAUAAACUAACAACUGUGCUUCAUUGUUUUUUUUUAUUGCUGAAGACUGCUCCUCUGUUUACAGACGUGCAUUUUGUAUGUGGGUUUGUUCAUUACACUUUUUGGUGUGAAAUUGCUUUUACAUUUGCUAUAAAUAAAACUUCUUACAUGAAAAACAAUCAAGCCCUGCUCAUAUUUGAAAAGUAAUGCAAAAGUAACGUAAUGCAUUACUUUCCAUAAAAAGUAACUAAGUAACAUAAUUAGUUACUUUUUAGGGAGUAACGCAAUAUUGUAAUGCAUUACUUUUAAAGUAACUUUCCCCGAUACUUGGGGGUGAUGCAUUACAGUAACACAAGUCAUGUCAUCUCAUUGCUUUUCCAAGUAACUGCUAAGUAACACAUUACUUUUAAUUCACAAGAAAAGAGAUACUUUUUCAAAUACUGUUACUUUGUUUCCCGUUUAUUGAUUGACAGCUCUCCUGUGUGCUGUUUAUAACAUGGUCUUACUGUAGUGCUAGUGACCAAGAUAUUUCUUUUUUUUGUGAAGUAGUACAUUUAGUAAUAAAUAUAUGAAUAAACAAUCAGUUAUUUAAUUUGCACAUUAAGAGCACACAUGGGAUGUAUAUAAAUAUACAGUUUUGUCUGCUUUAGGAUUCAUUUUGAAAUUGAAUACAGUAAAGAGGUUUAGAGACAGAUUUUUGUUCAUGUAUGUGAAAUUUAGUUAUAUUUUCAUGUAUUCUCCUUUGAGUAGUCAAACAGACCAAAGAAAACUUAUUAGUGUCUUUUAUUUUAUUUUAAAGAUGUUUUCUUCAAAAAUAAGAGAUUGGAUGAGCAUUAAACUAAUCUGACAUCAGUUUCUCUUCCUACGAAGAGACAAAAACUUGGAUUAACUCAUUUUUACAUGGUCAAAUACAAUAUAAACUUGACGAUAACCACUGAAAAUAGAAAACAAAUUAAAUGCACACUUAGACAGACUUAAAACUGAACUAUAAGGAGCCACGUAUCCCAUGUUUCCAUUGAGAAAAGUGGAUUUCCGGCAAUGCUUUUACUGAGAAACUAUGUUUGUUGUUUAGUUAUUUAAGGUUGCAUAUGUCAGAAAUGUCCUGUAUGUAUUUGUGUUUCACAGAAACUGCUGCUGGUGAGGAGUACACACCCAAAUCAGUGUGAAAGUGUGUCUCAUGUCAAGCUUUUCGAUGCACUCUGUAACAGCCAUCAACCCAAUGUGUUAAAAUGAUGACCUCGAUGUGGGCUUGUGUCCUAAUUGGUGAUUUAUUUCGACUGGUUACCAGUGUGUGUCUUUCCUACAUGUGCACCCGAACUGAGAAUUGUUCUUCCUGUGUGUAAGUGUCAGUGCAGUCUGUUGUGCAUACAGGACCGAAACGAGAGUGACAUUAGUCAGGGUGUCUAAAGAUAGCUGAGGAAACUCCCCUGUCUGACGGGAACUGUGGAACAUGUUUGAGAGAGCACUAGAGCAGGACAGCUUUUCUUCUGAUCGAGCUACCUAAAGGUCAUUGAUGCUGAAUGUUCAUGUUAAAGACACAGGAAGCAGAAUGGAAAUAGUGUGAGACAGCGCCCUCUUCUGGAGAAAAUUAACAAAUGAACUGCAGAUAGAUGGUAAAGUGAUAGAUGCACUCCUCUGUGGAAAAUGGACAACGGGAUCUUUGUUUCUCACAUUGCUCCUUUUCCGUAUUAAAUUAUUUGGACAUAUAGGCUACUUUUUAAGCGUUUUGCUCUUUUCCUGUCGUAACAUCUUAAAUGUGUCAUCUUUACUGUGAAUAAAAAAGUGCAUCCAUCCAUCAUAAAAAGUGCCUCGCAUGGGUCUAGAGGGCGAAUAAAGGCCUCCUGUGGCGAAUCAAUGCAUUUUUGUAAGAAAAUAAAUCCAUAUACGAAAUUUUAUAAACUGUAAUCAUGCCUUUCCGGUGGAUGAUGUGGGACGUAGACAUUACGUAAGGUUCGGUGAGAAUACGCUAGUCUCACGGAAAAAAAAAAAUGUUUGUUUACAGGAGCAAAGGGAGCAAAGUUUCCUUACUUUAGCAAACGAAAACCAGUCUCAUCUUGGCUUUUACAAAUCCUCAUUUUAUAAUUCCUGGCCAGUGUUUUGUUUUUCACUUUCUCCGCUGCACUUCCGCAUUCAUCACUUCUCAACAGACCUUACGCUACGUAAGAUUAUAUAGUUUCAAAUAUGGAUGCUUUUCUUACACAAAUGCAUCAAUUCACUUCAGGGGUCUUUAUUAACCCACUUGAGCUAUCAGGGACACUUUUUAUGAUAGAUGGAUGUGCUUUAUUUGAUGUCUUAUGGAGUAUUGAAAAAUAACACCCAUUCACUGCCAUUAUACAGCUUGGAAGAGCCAGGGCAUUUUAUAUAACUCCUAUUGGAUUUGUCUUGAGGGUGAGUAAAUCAUGGGGUAAUUUAUAUUUUUUGGGUGGACUGUCUCUUUAAGGGUGUCGCGCAUGCGCAGAUCCUCGCUCCGCCGCUAGUGGUCGCUGUUACGCGCUCCGUUUUUGUCACAACAGCUGAAGGCACCAUGGCUCCAUUGCGCCGCUUCUGCUCACGUUUUUACCCAACCAACGCGCCUCUCGCACAAGCAACAGGCUCUAGAGGUGAUUAAUUACCAAACUCCGUCUUCCAAGUUGAGUGUUUCGACCACGAGUGUCUGCGAUCGCGCCGCGUAACGCGGUCGAUACGCACAAAGGCGGAGAUUAUGGAGUAAACGCGCGUCGCGCGGCCGCUAGACUCUCCACA
rnacentral:lncRNA from 1 species